rnacentral:rRNA from 1 species
AUUGAACGCUGGCGGCAUGCUUUACACAUGCAAGUCGAACGGUAACAGGCCGCAAGGUGCUGACGAGUGGCGAACGGGUGAGUAAUGCAUCGGAACGUGCCCAGUCGUGGGGGAUAACGCAGCGAAAGCUGCGCUAAUACCGCAUACGACCUAUGGAUGAAAGCGGGGGAACGUAAGGCCUCGCGCGAUUGGAGCGGCCGAUGUCAGAUUAGGUAGUUGGUGGGGGAAAGGCUCACCAAGCCAACGAUCUGUAGCUGGUCUGAGAGGACGACCAGCCACACUGUGACUGAGACACGGCCCAGACUCCUACGGGAGGCAGCAGUGGGGAAUUUUGGACAAUGGGCGCAAGCCUGAGCCAGCAAUGCCGCGUGCAGGAAGAAGGCCUUCGGGUUGUAAACUGCUUUUGUACGGAACGAAACGGUCCGGGUUAAUACCCUGGGGUCAUGACGGUACCGUAAGAAUAAGCACCGGCUAACUACGUGCCAGCAGCCGCCGCGGUAA